rnacentral:lncRNA from 1 species
CCAGUAGUUUCAGUGUAAAAUGUUAAUAAAAAUAUACAAAUUUUAUGAAAAUUGUUAAAAAUUGACUGUUAAGGACAUUAACUCCUUAGGGGAUCAAUUGACCAUUUUGGUCAUGUUUGACUUAUUUGUAAAUCUUACUUUGCUGAACAUUAUUGCUGUUUACAGUUUAUCUCUAUCUAUAAUAAUAUUCGAGAUAAUAACCAAAAACAGCAAAAUUUCCUUAAAAUUA